AUUGAACGCUGGCGGCAGGCCUAACACCUGCAAGUCGAACGAGUGGCGGACGGGUGAGUAAUGGCUGGGCAACUGCCUGAUGUAGGCGGAUAACUACUGGAAACGGUAGCUAAUACCGCAUAACAUCCUAUGUGCCCAGAUGGGAGUAGCUAGUUGGUGGGGUAACGGCUCACCAAGGCGACGAUCCCUAGCUGGUCUGAGAGGACGACCGGCCACACUGGAACUGAGACACGGUCCAGACUCCUACGGGAGGCAGCAGUGGGGAAGAUUGCACAAUGGGCGAAAGCCUGAUGCAGCAAUGCCGCGUGUAUGAAGAAGGCCUUCGGGUUGUAAAGUACUUUCAGCGGGGAGGCGUUACCCGCAGAAGAAGCACCGGCUAACUCCGUGCCAGCAGCCGCGGUAAUAC
rnacentral:rRNA from 1 species